UACGUAGGUGACCAGCGUUGUCCGGAUUUACUGGGCGUAAAGAGCGCGCAGGCGGUCGUUCAAGUCGAGUGUGAAAGCCCCCGGCUCAACUGGGGAGGGUCAUUCGAUACUGAUCGACUCGAAGGCAGGAGAGGGUAGUGGAAUUCCCGGUGUAGUGGUGAAAUGCGUAGAUAUCGGGAGGAACACCAGUGGCGAAGGCGACUACCUGGCCUGUUCUUGACGCUGAGGCGCGAAAGCUAGGGGAGCAAACCGG
rnacentral:rRNA from 1 species